UCCCUGGUGGUCCAGUGGUUAGGACUCUGCACUUCCACUGCAGGGGGCCCAAGUUUCUAUCCCUGGCUGGGAAA
rnacentral:tRNA from 1 species